rnacentral:rRNA from 1 species
GAUGAACGCUAGCGGCAGGCUUAACACAUGCAAGUCGAGGGGCAUAGUUCUUCGGAAUUAGAGACCGGCGCACGGGUGCGUAACGCGUAUGCAAUCUACCUUUCACAGAGGGAUAGCCCAGAGAAAUUUGGAUUAAUACCUCAUAGUAUAGCAGUUUCGCAUGAAACCACUAUUAAAGUCACAACGGUGAAAGAUGAGCAUGCGUCCCAUUAGCUAGUUGGUAAGGUAACGGCUUACCAAGGCUACGAUGGGGUAGGGGUCCGUGAGAGGGAGAUCCCCCACCACUGGUACUGAGACACGGACCAGACUCCUACGGGAGGCAGCAGUGAGGAAUAUUGGACAAUGGGCGGCAAGCCUGAUCCAGCCAUGCCGCGUGCAGAUGACGGUCCUAUGGAUUGUAAACUGCUUUUUAUACAGGAAGAAC